AACGGCCGUACCAUGCUGAAUAUAUCGGUUCUCGUUAGAUCACCGAAGUUAAGCAUCAUUGGGCGCGGUCAGUACUUGGGUGGGUGACCACCUGGGAACACUGUGUGCCGUU
rnacentral:rRNA from 1 species